ensembl:lncRNA
CUAUAAAGUCCCUCCGUGAAGACUGUGUUUUAUGGAAGUGAGGCUGCUCCUAUCUGUUUAUAGAGGGCCUCAUCCUCUUGGUCUUCCUGAUCAGGUGACCUGUAACAAGGCCCCGCUAUGAUGUCUCCUUCCCCUUCCUUCCCUUUAACCCUAACCCAUAAGCUCUCUGUCAGCUCCUCAUCUGUCCUCAGGUGGAGCUCCAUGGACUCCAAGUGGUCACUGAUGUAGAUAGAGGGCAAUAUCCCCUCCCAUUCUCUGCUGCCUAUCUUUCCUAUAGACUUUAUACCCAUCUAUUCCUACAUUCCAGCUGUGAGAGUCAUCCCACCAUAUCUCAGUGAUGCCAAUGACAUCAUAGCCCCAUAGGCAUGCACACUCUUGCAACUCCUCCUGCUUGUUCCCCGUGCUCCACUCAUUGGUGUACAGGCAACUGAAUUGUCCAACGGAUUUUCAGUUUGUUGCUUCCUCCGCAACCGUCUGCCUCUGUGAAUUGUUGUAGAGGACUGCUGAAGGAAAAAGACCACAACUCUGCCAUGCAAAUACUUCCACCUGUAUCUGCAUACUUGCAAGUGGUGUGGCAAGCUGUUGCUCUGGCUGAUUCAUCUAAAGUACAAAAGACUGGGCCAAGAGGUAACAGCAAGGAAUUGGCAGAUGUUCAAUAAAUCACCUUUUCUUUAUGAAAUUCCUUAUGAUUUUUCUUAUCACAGCAGAUUACUUAAGGCUUUCUGCAAUUCUAAUGGGAAAAAAAAAGACAACUGUUAUUAAAGACAUUGAC